rnacentral:rRNA from 1 species
GAUGAACGCUGGCGGCGUGCCUAAUACAUGCAAGUCGAGCGAACAGACGAGGAGCUUGCUCCUCUGACGUUAGCGGCGGACGGGUGAGUAACACGUGGAUAACCUACCUAUAAGACUGGGAUAACUUCGGGAAACCGGAGCUAAUACCGGAUAAUAUCUUGAACCGCAUGGUUCAAUAGUGAAAUACGGUUUUGCUGUCACUUCUAGAUGGUUCCGCGCCGCAUUAGCUGGUUGGUAAGUUAACGGCUUACCAAGGCAACGAGGCGUAGCCGACCUGAGAGGGGGAUCGGCCACACUGGAACUGAAACGCGGACCAGACUCCUACGGGAGGCAGCAGUAGGGAAUCUUCCGCAGUGGGCGAAAGCCUGACGGAGCAACGCCGCGUGAGUGACGAAGGUCUUCGGAUCGUAAAACUCUGUUAUUAGGGAAGAACAAAUGUGUAAGUAACUAUGCACGUCUUGACGGUACCUAAUCAGAAAGCCACGGCUAACUACGUG